AGCGGCUGCAGGCUGCUAAGCGGCUCCGGGAGCUGAUUUGGAUAGAGGCUGUUGAGCAGGGCUGAAGUUGGCUAAUGCCGUGUGCUGUUGGCUUUCAACAAUUCCGGUAACCUAGAUAUGAGUCCUAAUGCUUUCGUCUGCAUAAGAACAAUCCGAAAUUCUGGGCCAGGUGUGGUGGUUCAUGCCAGUAAUCCCGGCACUUUGGGAGGCCGAAGUGGGAGGAUCGCUUGAGCCCGGGAGUUCGAGACUAGUCUGGGGAACAUAGGGAGACCCUUUCUCUAUAAAAAAUUAAAAACAAAAAAAAAAUCUGCAUCAUCCACAGAUCCCCUGCAACAGAAUCACUUGGAGGUGCUUUUUUUUUUUUUGAGAUGGAGUCUUGCUCUGCCGUCCAGGCUGGUGUGCAGUGGCACUAUCUCGGCUCACUGCAACCUCCGCCUCCCAGGUUCAAGGGAUUCUCCUGCCUCAGCCUCCCGAGUAGCUGGGAUUACAGACGACCGCCACCACGCCUGGCUAAUUUUUGUAUUUUUAGUAGAGAUGGAGUUUCACCAUGUUGGCCAGGCUGGUCUCGAACUCCUGACCUCAGGUGUUCCGCCCACCUCGGCCUCCCAAAGUGCUGGGAUUACAGGCGUGAGCCACCACGCCCGGCCGAAGGUGUUGAUUCCUUCGGUCAUGGACACCGUCAGGAAAUCUGAAUUUUUAACACACACUGCCAGUGAUUCUGAUGCAGGAGUCUGCAGACCACCCUUUGAGAAAUUGCUAGUCUAGGCUGGGCGCGUUGGCUCACGCCUGUAAUCCCAACACUUUGGGAGGACGAGGCAGGCGGAUCACCUGCGGUCAGGAGUUCGAGACCAGGCUGGCCAACAUGGUGAAACCCCAUCUCUACUAAAAAUACAAAAAUUAGCCGGGUGUGGUGGCUUACGCCUGUAGUCCCAGCUACUCCGAAGGCUGAGGCAGGAGAAUCCCUUAAACCCAGGAGGCAGAGGUUGCAGUGAGCCAAGAUAUCGCCACUGCACUCCUGCCUGGGUGAUAGUGAGACUCUGUCUCAAAAAACAAAGAAAAAACCAAAAUUGGUAGUCUAGUUUUAACUAAUCUCAAACGUGUCAGACUUCAAGAUAGAGCCUUCUGGUGAAGUAUUGGCCUUAGAAUCAGAUCAUAAUUAUAAUCUAGCUUUACCAUCUACUCGCUGUCACCUUGGAUAAUACUACUCACAUACUAAGGUGGUAGGAGAUUAAAGGAAUUAAUAUAUCUAAAACACCGAACACACAAACAUAUAGUCUUUCAACUUACAUUGGCAACAGAUAGGCUAGAGGUAUGAGGACCCAGAUGGCAAAGGUACCUAAGUAGCCCAGACUGGGGUUCUGCAAUCUGAAGAACAGAUACUGAGAUCUGGGUGAGUUUUCAGGCUCCCUUCUGUUACCUCCAGUAUAAGGUUUCUUUUUCUGUAGAUAGAAAUGACAUAACCUGGGUCUCACUUACUUUUAUGUUGGCAGAACCAGACUUCUACUUACACAAACAAGUAAGAAGAGCACCAGAAGUUUCUUUGGCAUAAAUUAUGUUUGUUCUCCCCCUUUUUUUUCAUGCUUAUUAUAGAGGACAAGUUCCUAUUAAUAGCUGCAAAUUCAUACUUGGUUCUAGUAUUUGUUUUUUAAUUGAAUUGCCUUUUGGUGACCCCAUACACUAUAAUUGAUACUGAAUCACUCUUCUGGUGCCCUCCUGCCACUAGGCUCCAAGUUUCUCUUUUCUGUCUUCCUUUUUGGGGAGGAGAGAUUUUUAUCGCAAACCAUUUAGUAAACAAUCCCAUUCUCCUGUAAAACUAUAGAGAGAAAGAGACAGAACCUUGUCUGGAUGUUAUGAAUUUAGAACUGAUAUCUUUUCCCAAGGUUCCUAGAGAGGGAGGGAAAGAGAGAGAGAGAGAAUUUAAAGCCCCCACAAACCCAUAAUAACUUGGUUGCCAGCUUGAACCCUUCAUAAUUAUUUAUUCAUUCAACACAAAUAUUUAACAUCUGUCACAGGCAAAGCAAAUUUUUGUUGGUGCUGGGGAUAGAGUGGUGAGCAAAACACAGUUUGCCCUCAUGGAACUAAGAGUCUAAUGGGAAAAACCGAUAUCAAACCAACAAAUCCACCACACAUAUGAAUACAUAACAGC
rnacentral:lncRNA from 10 species